GUGUGGGCGAAAUGAAAGAUUGGUGACAAACCUGGAAUUUUGGGUGCUUCGGGUGGAACUCUGGUCCAACAGGUGGGAGAAUUUCUUAUCCUGAGUGGUCCGGUGCUUUUUUGCCGUCGAUGCCGCAACGGAGUCCGCGAACUCGUCGACCGCAGACAUCAACUCAGGCAUGCGGUGCUCAAGUGGACGCUUGGCAAAUAAAGAAACAAAAGAAAGGCGUAGAAAUGUUUUUAAAAGGCGCAAAUGUAAUUUUAAUUAACUCUACAUAGGUGACGCCACCAUAGAUGACAGGCGUUUUGCGCUCAUUCAGCAGGCAACCACUUCGACACUAGGCAUAGCCUCCAAAAUUUGCAAAUGCCAAAAUUGCAAAUCUCUAAGGCCAAAUACAAAGACCUUUAUUCCUAUGUAGAUAGCGCUGCCAUAGAUGACAAGUGUUUCGCGCUCAUCCGGCAGGCAAGGGAAAUCUAGGAGGCGUUGGACGUUGGUGUUGUUGGAUUCGACUGUCAGUGACUAAGUAUUUGGUGCUGUGUUGGCCCACAUCUCUAUCUCUGUGGUAGCACAGGUAAGAAAAUAUAUAUAUCAGCUGAUUCCAUGGCACGAACUCAGUUGGACAGGGAAGCUGUAAUGAUAAUGAUGAUGGUAACUUUUGGCACAAAAGUAAUCAUCAUUUGGUUUCAUUUAUUCACUCCUGACUCUGUUGACACGAUCUGUGUGGUGACUACUAUGAUGAGGGUGAUGACGGCAAAGGGUAGACUAUAAGACAGCUUCAUUCCAAAGAAUUUGGGGGUAGGAUUAUUUGUGUAAGAAAAACAGGUUUAGGAAGCCGGUGCAUUGCUGAUUGCCGUAUUCCUGACCAUCAUAUCAAUGAUCUCUUUGGUUCUCGCUGAUAUUAGAAACUAUCUUAUCGUAGUUUUAUCACUCGCAUAAUAUAGUUAACAGAUUGUAAGAGUCUACAAGUAAUCUGAAUGAUUACAGCGUGGCAAACUAAGCAAAGAAGGAUUAUGCUGUCAAUUGUCUGUAAAGCUGAUAUAAAGCAGGUGAAAACGUAACCCCUACUUCUAAGAUUGGUAACCUUGUGUAAGACCGGCACAAAAUGAGGAAAGGUGUUUAUGAAAAUUGUUCCGUUGACGAUCCAUUGCCCAGAUUUUGGAAGUUGCUAAAGUCAACUUUGUGUGACCAGCAUAAUGUGAGCAUUCAGAUGGAUUUUGAGAAAAAUGUUAUGUAGCGAUUCUGUACCUCAGCUCUGCCUUGUGUAGUAUAACCAUCUGUGUCUUGUCUGAUUUCUACACCUUGUGCUCAUUUCUGUACGACCCAAGGAAGACCUGCGUCAAUGCCAAGAAAGCUUAAGAAGAGCGCAGAAAGACAUCAAGAUAUUGAAAGGAAAGCUUCUUGAGCUGGCUGAGGAAAACAGACAGCUACGCUCUGAAGAGUGCAAGCGUUGCCAGCAGCAAGCAGGAUAUUCACUAGUUCCGGAUUCUUUGCUGAAAGAGAUAGAACGAGCCCUCCUCAUCUUCAAGCAUCUCAUACCUGUUGGCAAACACACAGAAAACAGGAAUCCCGUUGAGACAGUGGCUGCUAGACACGAUGUGCAGGUGCCUGGACAAGUCCUGCAAAA
rnacentral:lncRNA from 1 species